rnacentral:rRNA from 1 species
GCCUAACACAUGCAAGUCGAGCGGUAACAGAUCCAGCUUGCUGGAUGCUGACGAGCGGCGGACGGGUGAGUAAUGCAUAGGAAUCUGCCCGAUAGUGGGGGAUAACCUGGGGAAACCCAGGCUAAUACCGCAUACGUCCUACGGGAGAAAGGGGGCUUCGGCUCCCGCUAUCGGAUGAGCCUAUGUCGGAUUAGCUAGUUGGUGAGGUAAAGGCUCACCAAGGCAACGAUCCGUAGCUGGUCUGAGAGGAUGAUCAGCCACAUCGGGACUGAGACACGGCCCGAACUCCUACGGGAGGCAGCAGUGGGGAAUAUUGGACAAUGGGGGCAACCCUGAUCCAGCCAUGCCGCGUGUGUGAAGAAGGCCCUCGGGUUGUAAAGCGCUUUCAGCGGGGAAGAACGCCUAGCGGUUAAUACCCGCUAGGAAAGACAUCACUCGCAGAAGAAGCACCGGCUAACUCCGUGCCAGCAGCCGCGGUAAUACGGAGGGUGCAAGCGUUAAUCGGAAUUACUGGGCGUAAAGCGCGCGUAGGUGGCUUGAUAAGCCGGUUGUGAAAGCCCCGGGCUCAACCUGGGAACGGCAUCCGGAACUGUCAAGCUAGAGUGCAGGAGAGGAAGGUAGAAUUCCCGGUGUAGCGGUGAAGUGCGUAGAGAUCG